rnacentral:SRP_RNA from 1 species
GCUGGGCGUGGUGGCUCAUGCCUGUAAUCCCAGCAUUUUCGGAGGCUGAGGUGGGUGGAUCAUCUGAGGUCAGGAAUUUGAGAUCAGGAAUUCGAGAUCAGCCUGACCAAUAUGGUGAAACUCCAUCUCUA